GUGGGUGUAGCUUAACGGUUAAAGCUUUGGCCUGUGAAACCAAAGAUGAAGGUUCAACUCCCUUCACCUACC
rnacentral:tRNA from 1 species